AGCGAACGCUGGCGGCGUGCUUAACACAUGCAAGUCGAGCGGUAAGGCCCUUUCGGGGGUACACGAGCGGCGAACGGGUGAGUAACACGUGGGUGACCUGCCCUCAGCUCUGGGAUAAGCCUGGGAAACCGGGUCUAAUACUGGAUAUGACUCCAUGACGCAUGUUGUGGGGUGGAAAGCCUUGUGCGGCUGAGGAUGGGCCCGCGGCCUAUCAGCUUGUUGGUGGGGUGAUGGCCUACCAAGGCGACGACGGGUAGCCGGCCUGAGAGGGCGACCGGCCACACUGGGACUGAGACACGGCCCAGACUCCUACGGGAGGCAGCAGUGGGGAAUCUUGCGCAAUGGGCGAAAGCCUGACGCAGCGACGCCGCGUGAGGGAUGACGGCCU
rnacentral:rRNA from 1 species